rnacentral:rRNA from 1 species
UACGUAGGGUGCGAGCGUUAAUCGGAAUUACUGGGCGUAAAGCGUGCGCAGGCGGUUUGUUAAGUCUGCUGUGAAAGCCCCGGGCUCAACCUGGGAAUGGCAGUGGAAACUAGCAAGCUAGAGUGUGGCAGAGGGGGGUGGAAUUCCACGUGUAGCAGUGAAAUGCGUAGAGAUGUGGAGGAACACCAAUGGCGAAGGCAGCCCCCUGGGUUAACACUGACGCUCAGGCACGAAAGCGUGGGGAGCAAACAGG